AGUGAACGCUGGCGGUAGGCCUAACACAUGCAAGUCGAACGGCAGCACAGUAAGAGCUUGCUCUUACGGGUGGCGAGUGGCGGACGGGUGAGGAAUACAUCGGAAUCUACUUUUUCGUGGGGGAUAACGUAGGGAAACUUACGCUAAUACCGCAUACGACCUACGGGUGAAAGCAGGGGAUCUUCGGACCUUGCGCGAGUGAAUGAGCCGAUGUCGGAUUAGCUAGUUGGCGGGGUAAAGGCCCACCAAGGCGACGAUCCGUAGCUGGUCUGAGAGGAUGAUCAGCCACACUGGAACUGAGACACGGUCCAGACUCCUACGGGAGGCAGCAGUGGGGAAUAUUGGACAAUGGGCGCAAGCCUGAUCCAGCCAUACCGCGUGGGUGAAGAAGGCCUUCGGGUUGUAAAGCCCUUUUGUUGGGAAAGAAAAGCAGCAGGUUAAUACCCCGCUGUUCUGACGGUACCCACAGAAUAAGCACCGGCUAACUUCGUG
rnacentral:rRNA from 1 species